UGUGACGCGGAUAAGUUAUUACAGAAUCGCGAACCCUAUAUUUAAUAGAUGCAUAACUUAACAACGUAACAGCGAAGUGAACUAUUUAUCACAAUCCCCAUUUAGUGUCAAAUGAAACUAGCCGUGAUCGUGUUGAAAUUCCCUAUGUAAUUGGACCACUUUCUGCUUGUAAUUGCUGAAUCAAUAUUUAAUAUUCAAUCAUAAUAUCUUGGAUAUCUUAGAUCAGUGAGAAAUGGCAUCUAGAAUGUUAAUCCUGCUCUUGGGAAAUCUAUUCCAGUUCUCUGGACGCGUGGCUAGGCGUCUUGCUGAAGCUUGGAGAGGCGAUCCAUGUUCAGAUCAGUGACUUUGAAGUCAACGGACAGAGAUGACGUCACAAUAUGCUCAAACUUGUUCUGUGGUUUGAUUCGGAGUUUAUCUGAAAUUACAACCAAUAUUAGUAAAGUAAUAAUCGUCGUUUCCAGGUGUUCCUUCAGCCUGUCCAGUUCCUCCUCAGCCGGGAGAGGUACCUCCUGCAACUCCUGGAUGGUGACUCCGAGCUUGUCAGCGAGGUCCCGCUGCCAUUCCAGGAGCCUCUCCAUCUUCAUGCGGCGCUGUUCCACUUGUUCUCUGUAUCUGUUGGAGAAAAGAAUUCAUUACUCCAUUUAAGGCACUUAAAAUAAAAUCUUAAUAGUACCUACCUUUUUCACAAAUAAAAAUAAACUACUGCUUAUGUUA